CUCGGACGCCCGGGCCCCGCCCCUCGCUCCUCCGCUGUCUACAGUUCCUGCCGCCCUGGCUGAGGCGACGUCCAGAGAACGCGAGCUGCGGCGCCAGGCACCCGGCUAGUUCUGGAUUGCCUGAUGGGGCAGCAGGAUGACUCACCGCAGCCUUAAGAAUGCUUUCUCAGACUCACACUCUCACAGAACCUCACAGGCCUUUGUGCUCCCGCAGGUGGCACCCGGGGCCCCAGUUGGGUGGGGGGAGAAAAGAGGUCCUCUGAUCACUGCAGGUCACACCGUGGAUAAUAGAGGGGGAGCGUUUAUCCUGCCUGUGUGCGCAGGUUUGCCCAAAGUACCCAGUGGACACACAGACCCCUGUGCUCAGACGUCUACACCAGGGACCCUAUGGGUGUGCCGCGUGCCUCCUGGGUGCUCAUCCCUCUCUCUCCCCAACAGUAUGGCCUCUACUUUGCCUUCAUGGGUGCUUCAUGUAUUUCUUCUUGGGCACCUCCCGGGAUGUUACUCUGGGCCCCACGGCCAUCAUGUCCCUCCUAGUCCCCUUCUGCACCUUCCGUGAGCCCGCCUGUGCUGUGCUGCUGGCCUUCCUGUGGGGCUGCAUGCAGUUAGCCAUGGGCUCCUGCGCUUGGGGUUCCUGCUGGACUUCGUCUCCUGCCCCGUCAGCCAUUAAAGGUUUCACCUCUGCUGCUGCCGUCACCAUGGGCUUCGGGCAGAUGAAGGUAGGCUCGCUAGUGGGCACCGGGGCACCUGCAGGGUAGCAGGACCAAGGCCGGGUCCUGAUAUGUGUGGCCAGUCGACGUCUUGCUGUUCCAGAGCUCGAAGCACGCGGUGCUCACAUGGGUCCAUGAAUAAAAUGACCCCUUGGGGGAGACGUUGGCGGAAGGUCAGAUUCUAUAACAGGUCGUUUGGGGACCGAUAGUGACAGCCCCCGCUCUGGGUGGAGUGUCCCCCAGUGCGCUUGGUUCCCUCCCAGAGUGGUUCUGUUCUGCUCUCUCUACUGCACCCUCAGCCAGCAGCCUUCACAGGUCCCGAGCAUCCUGCCAGAUUUCCACAAGCAAAUCAUUCCCCCAUGCUCAUUUAGCUAGAUGAUUUCAUUUUUAUGUAUUUUUCCAAUUUCUGUUGGCUAUUUUCAAAUGCUGUGCUUCUUUAUAUUUCUGUUUAAUCUCUAUAAGAAGUGCUAGAUCGAUGAUCACCGGUUAUCUUGGAUGUCAUUUAUUCUCCUUUCACUGGGUUUGAAGUUCAUGGGGGGCUGCCCAGCGCUGUGCUUGGUAUAAAGUAGGUCAGCCUCCAGGGAGAGAAUGUGCGCUUCUUGGUGAGCAAUUUCCUUGUGACACCAGGACAAGUUCAGGGCAGAUGCCUAGAGGUAAGGCUGCCUGAGAGCCUCCCCGCGGGUCCCUCGUUCCUCCACCAGCCCUGGGUCACCAGCCAUGUUCCCCCUUCUCCUUCCCAGGUGACUGAGGUCUCAGUAGGUGCUGCUGUGUCCAGACACUGAGCUAAAACCUUUUCAUGAAUCAUUUCAUUUCAUCUCACAAACACCCUGCCUGGCAGGAAGUACUUCAGUCCCCAUGUAAGGUGAAAGGACUGAGGGCCCGGCCCGGUGACAAAGCAGUUAAGUGUGCUCACUCUGCUUCGGCGGCCCGAGGGUUCGCAGGUUUGGAUCCCGGGCACGCACCGAAGUGCCGCUUGUCAGGCCACGCUAUGGCAGCGUCCCAUGUAAAGUAGAGGAAGAUGGGCACAUAUGUUAGCCCAGGACCAGUCUUCCUCGGCAAAAAGAGGAGCAUUGGCAUCGGAUAUUAG